rnacentral:tRNA from 1 species
AGUUUUAUAGUUUAACCAAGAAUAUUAAUUUUGUAAAUUAAUGGUAAUUUUAUAAUUUAAAACUA